rnacentral:rRNA from 1 species
GCGCGAAACCUUUACAAUGCACUAACGUGUGAUAAGGGGAUUCCAAGUGCUCAUACAUAGUAUGGGCUUUUUUAAAGAGUAAAUAUCUUUAAGAAUAAGUGGUGGGUAAGACUGGUGCCAGCCGCCGCGGUAACACCAGCGCCACGAGUGGGAGCCAUGUUUAUUGGGCCUAAAGCGUCCGUAGCCGGUUUAGUAAAUUUCUUGUGAAAUUAUCGGGCUUAACUCGAUAGCGUGCAGGAAAGACUGCUAGACUAGAGACCGGGAGGCGUGUGGGGUAUUCCUUGGGGAGCGGUAAAAUGUUAUAAUCCUUGGAAGACCACCUGUGGCGAAGGCGCCACACGAGCACGGAUCUGACGGUGAGGGACGAAAGCCAGGGGAGCGAUCCGGAUUAGAUACCCGAGUAGUCCUGGCCGUAAACGCUGCGAGCUAGGUGUUGCAUAUCCUUCGGGAAUAUGCAGUAUCGAAGCGAAGGUGAUAAGCUCGCCGCCUGGGGAGUACGGUCGCAAGGCUGAAACUUAAAGGAAUUGG